UCUCUCGUCUUUUUUCCAGCCUGUCUCGCCGUGUUCGUGGGUUUUCAGUGUGGUUCCUCCUGCGUCUGCGGACUCCGUUUUCCUCUUGCGGCGGCGCUGGCGCUGGUGCGAUUCCACCCCCUUCGCGCCUUGUUAUACGCAAAUUCGAACUCCGGGAUCUGCAGAUAUCGUGACUUUGGGCCCAAAUAAGUUGAUAGGUACUCCGUAGAUUGAAGGUCGAUUACUCCUCUAGUUAUCAUGGGGAUGCCCAUGCUGAAGCGGUUCAUGUCCAUGCAGUCGGAGCGGCGGCAUCGCCAGAUCCGAGCCCGUGCCCGUGCUGGAUGUGUUUCUUCUUCAUUGGCUAAAAGAAAAAAGGAGGUCUGCCAACAUGACGAUGUUUCUCCGAGUGAUAAACGAUUGAGAUGUUCAGGGGUGAACCUUCCAGAGGUAUGGAAUUAUUUGCUGAUAAUGCAAGAAUUAUAUUGACGGAACUAGCAGUAGCUCUGUUUGCAUUAAGAGGGGGGAACCCAAGUUACAAAGACUGAAAACAACCUAGAGGAAAACAGGAACUGACAGUAGAAGUAAAAGAAAGCCUGAAUAUGCGAACUGCGGUUGGGCUGUACACACAGAACAAUUAGUCGCACAAACCUCCAGAAGGAGGCUGACGUUGUUCUGAUCAAGGAAGUAAUUGUGGUUGGGCUCAUCGAUUUGCUGUAAAAAAAAUCCACCUAUUAAGCUCUUUCCAAAUGUGCCAAAUGAUAUAGUAGGCGACAGAGAUCUCUUUCUUCCUGGAUUAGAUGCCCUUUUGAAGCUUUUAAGCCACUGUUCUCUAAUGCUAAAAGCCUCCUUGGAAAAUGCAAGAAUUGUUGCAAGUGCAAUACCAUCACGAGUCCAUCACCAGUUCACUUCUGGUAAAAUAACUUACAAACAGAUUACAUAUGAUUCAGCAUUUAUAGUCCUAUUGUGCUAGUAGUUUCGCUUUGUGCUUAACUGUUGCAGCUUUAACUCCAACAGAAAAUUGUCUGUUGUGAGUUUAAACACCAGGUAUUGUGACAGGGAUUAGCCUUUUUAGAUGUUAUCCCUCCUGGUACAGUGCAUUAUAUCUUUUUCUUUCGUGGAUAAAGGUAAAUGUGCUAUAAAAACAAGUCUAAAAAAUACCAUGGAACUGCAUGUUAGCGACCCUUUCCACUGUGCGGCCAAGUGGCAGACGAAGGCCCAGCCCACCACCAUUCCCUACAUAUACGCGAGAGAAUGGAACGAGCAACCAUCCUGGCUUGGAUCACGACUUUCAACGGUGGCUCUUCUUCUCCCACCUCUGGCUCUCUUUCUCAAUCCCCAUUUCAUGCUGCAACUUGUAUCCCGAAAUUAGCUACCUAUCCUUGUAAUCUGCUACUGUGAUUGAUUAGUGAGAGUUGGUCCCUAACACUGCAACAUGGAAAUGUAAGAGUAUAUGUCAAAAUUUGUGCAAAACUGACUUGUACAUUGUAUUGUAUGAAAAACCAAACCAAGUACUGUUAUUUCGAGCCCCCGCGUCGUCCCCGCUAGGGCGACUCGGGCAGCGCCCUAAACCCAGCCGCCGGGGGCGCACACUCCCUCCUCCCCUCCCUCCGCCGCCGCCAGCCUAAGACCGGGGACCGACGGCGGUGGCGGUGGACAUCGCCUCUCUCCCGCAGCUCUGAGGUUGUGCGGGCCCCCGAAACGUGUGGAGGCGCGCCCGUUCCGAUCGGCAAUGGCGAUGGCUGUGGCGCGGCGGCGCGGGCUGCGGGCGCGGCGGCCAGCCCUGUUUGGGUGGCGGCGGCGGCGGCGCGCCAUCUGCCUUUGGAUCGGCGGCGGCGGCGCGCAGGCCUGGUGGUUGCAUCGGCGGCACCUCCAGUCAGAUCUGUUUUGACCGGUGCAGCCGGCGGUGGUGGUCAUCUCUUCCGUCAAAGGUGGUCGACCUGCGGCUGGGUGGUCGGAUCUCGAGGUUCAUCAUCUAGUCCCGGCUACGAGUCGGGGAGACAUAGUUGCCGAUGAAAACUGAGCCGUUGGCGGGCGAUGGCGGCGUUUUGCGCCGUUACCUUGAUGAAGGCAUCGUCGUGUAACUGUUGUCGAUCCACACGUGCUGCUUUGGGGCAAACCCUAGGAUUUGGUCUUCCAGAUCGGACGAUGGCGGUACUACGGUGCCGUUUCUCUCUUGGGAGCAUUGUUUGUGGAGCAGCGCUAGAAGAUAGAGGCAGGAGGUGGAGCGGCUUCGUCUUGCACGGAGCUUCGGUGAAGCUGUAAAAUCAUGCCCGGCCGACAGGUGCUACGCUGAGUCAUGCCUAGUUGGCAGGUGCUACGCACGACAGAUCUUCCAGAGUCUUCGCGUCUGGAUGGACGAGCGCAGGGCGGUGGCGCUGUUGGGCGCCGUGGUGGCGUCGACGAAUGUCUGGACUAGCAAAGGAUGAUGCAGAUCUCUCUCCUGAAGAUGGGUCAGUGGUCCGAUGAUGAUGGCGGCUUCUAAAAUGUGUGCAUGUGGUGUGUGCUUUAGGUAGGCUGCACCGGCUGUUGGUACCGAUACGUUAUGUGGAUGGAUCGGCGACGACACCGGUUUUAGAUAUGGGGAGUGAGAGCACUCCACAUUAUCGAGUUUGUAGGUGUGAGUGGUGGUUUUGGGUGGAUUGAUGUAUGUUCUUGUUAGACCUUUGUGGAAUAAUUAAUAAAGAUGGCUGCAUGCAUCGAUUGAUGCAGAGGCCGGGGGCUUAACCUCCUUUUCUAAAAAAAAGUACUGUUAUUUCAAUGUUACUGUACCCAUCUUUUACCCCCUUUUGCAUGGUAUUACAGUAUACAAUUACAAACCAUGAUUCUUUGUUUGAUAGGUGUAGAUAUCAUGCAUUGUACCACCUUUGCUUCUCUUCAUAGAGCUAUCUCAAGUGGCUGUCUAGAUCCACUAUCCCUUUGUUUACGCAUAAUCGUACAAGCAUUUGCAGCCAUGACAAGUGCACUGUGUUUAAUGUUUAAGUUAUUAUUCGUAUUACAGGAAUUGGAAAAACGAUGAAUCUUGACAACUUGAGGUGGUUAAAAACGUAACUGAUUUCAUUUGCACCAGAUCAUUCCUUUAGCCAUUGAGUUCCCUAAUCCAGUGCAAACGGCUGAUUGAAAUUGCCCCACAUCUAUUUUGCGCAAUCCCACCUACGGAUUGUAUUGCAAAUGUAAUUUAUGAACAUAUAGCAUAUCUUUUGGGCUAGUUUUGGUUCUAGCCCAAGCUUUACAUACCAAAUAUUUGGCUAGUCAAAAUUUUGGUUGAGCUUUUGAUUGGCUAUGGGUUGGCUACUUGGCUAACAUUGGCAAGAAAUAUGAACUAGAUUGGGUCAAUAGCCAUUGGCAUGGCGAAAAAAUUGGCAAUCAUCCAAACAAAGGCCAAUUUUUUGGUCAUGGCCAAAAAUCGAUAGGGUCAACUUUUGUUACCAUCCAAACAUACCCUAAACUAUUGCAGCCUUCACUCUCGAGGAGAAUAUUGUCUGGCAUGAGUUUAAACCCCAGGUAUCGUGAUAAGUAGGGCUUCGUAGACGCUAUGUGUCCUGAUACAAUUCAUCUAAAAUCAUCAUUGCCCCUCCUUAAUUUUGUUCCAAGCUCCGCCAGCAGCCGCAUUUAUAUUACUAGAUAAUUCCCCCGCGCGUUGCUGCAGGACUAUUUUGAAAUUAUUUUGCUGAAAUUCGGUUGAGCAAAAUAGAAGUAAUGAAUUUAUUUGACUUGAUUAUUUGAUAGAUUCGCCAAAAAAAGAUUAUUUGAUAGACGCAUAGCAGUUUCAUAAGAUAAAUAUCAUAAUAUGUGGUUAAAUUUCCUUGGAGUUGUCAAUGCUGGUGCCUUCUUCCUUGUGAACAAAAUGUACAUGUGGGAUUCCUUUCUUGAUGUACUCAAAGAUGUAUGUGCCAACCUUCAAUGAAUGAUUCUUUGUGGUGUCGUCUUGAAAAGAGGCGCUAGUUAUUGUCAGUUUCAUAGCAUUCUUCAUGUUUGUAAUAGCCUCUAUGUACCUUUUGUGUGCUUCUCUUGUUGGAUGUGUUGCUGAAGGUGGCAGAACUUUUCUUGGUGCAUCAGAUCGCAUGCUGUAGCAAAAUAGGUGUGCAUAUCGUUAAUUGCAUAGCAGGAACUUAGAAAACAACUAUGUACGUAACAGUCGUACCUGUUAGCCAACUUCCUUCUGGUUGUCCAUGUACUUGCAAAAGCCAAUAUUUAGUUGUAGGGAUACAAUGGAAAAUGGUAUAGUUGUUCGUAAAUAGAGAUGUGUGGUAGUCAUAAAACGUGUAACUGAAAGAUAUUGCUUUUAAAAUAGUUAAUACACAACAAAUAUAACAGUGAAUAUAUAUAAAGUUAUAGAUGGUAUUUAUAUUGGGGUUUUAAUUAGCAGGUUAAUGUACGUAUUAAUAUCGCACAUGCAUGUAAGAUUUGGGCAUGGUAAUUGUUGGUUGGAUUCCUAGCAAAGAAAAUAAUUGGGGGUUGGUAUAUAAAAUCUAAAACUUUCUAAGCGGUGAAGGCUAGCCUGGGCGGCAUUUUCUGCAGUUUAUGAGAGUUUUGAAGAGAUACAUACUCUGUAGCAGGAAAAAACAGAGAUGACAUUAUAAUAGAUAUCCUCAUGUUAACAUUCAAAGUGUAGUACAAACCCAGUUUGGUAUUUAUAGAUUUAUCACUAAAAGUACCCUCGUACACUCAUACACGUUGAGCAAUGGGUACUCUGGUGGUUCAAGGGGGGAAAGGAGAAAAGACAAAGAGAAACUCGGUGCAUUCAAGCAUUAUCCAGUAAUGAAGAUCCUUCCUGUAUGAUUGUCUCCUCCACAUGUUAACAUCUGCCAUGAAUAGCAAGACCCUUCCUGUUUGAUUGUCUCGUCCAUAUGUUAACUUCUGUCAUGAAGAGUAGUAUAAGAUUUCAGUCUAGGUGUUUCAUGGAUGGCAAAUCUAAAAUUUAUAAGCCCUCAAGGACAGAGCAGCAAGCAAGGGCAUGAUGCAUGAAGCAAAAAGGUUUCUGGGUUGCAAUGGAAGCUCAGCAAAAUGGGUAUGAAAUGAAGAAAUUAUUUUUUUGCUGGUCGUAGUUACAGGACAGUGGAAGUUUCCAUGCGUGUAUUGCGAAGCAUAGCAUUGUUAAAGUUGGAAGUAACAAAUAGGACGAUAUAAAGGUUGGAAUUAAAAAUUGAAGUACCUAUAUGGUAUGCAUGUUUGGCUUACUCGUGCUAUCCAUAAUUGGUUGUUGGAUCUUUGUUGUCUGUUUUGCUGCGUAAGGAGAACAUCUGGCAUUGUAAUUAUUUUAAGGGGAAAUAAAUAAAUUUUGUGAGAAUUAUUUAUAUAGGCUGUGAGAAGUAAUACAUACUCUUUCUUGUAUUCUUUGGAAGGACUAUGUUCAUGUUCCUUUGAUCUGCACUCAGAGAAGAUAGAUCUCUGAAGGGGUAAGCGAAUCGAUCGAUAAAAAGAGAGCAUGUAUAAACCUGGUGCAUCAUAGGCAUGCGAGUAUUGCCAUACCUGAUAGAUUUGUUGGCAUCAUCCUCGGUAAAGUCUAUUCUUCGUUUUGCUCCAGACCUGAUUAGAAGGGAGAUUAAUCAGAGCGUUAUAAGUCUGAUAAAUCUUGCUCUCGAGAUGCUAUUGCUUGAUCGAUGCCAAGAAGUAGAUGAUAGAAUGAAUGUCAAGAUAUAUUGUGCAGAAGAAAACUUAUUUGAAAGAACAUUUGUGCCUAACAAACCUCUGUUCCUGUUUCUAGCCAUACGUGUGCGACGGUUAUCGGCAGGAACAUAUGGGCUUGCUCGAGGAGAAGGAUCGGGUAAUGACGUACGACGUGGCCGUCCACGUCCACGUGAAACUUCUCGUGGAUGACCAACCCCAUGCCCAGUUGGAUAACGCGAAGAACUUUCUGCGUUAUCCAUGUCAGGAGGCCUAAUAACCCCAAGGAAGUGGAAUUGGAUGAAGGGGCCAAGAAUGUAAAACGUACCAACAGAAUACGAAUGCAAUGCAAUGUAAGGAGCAACCGAGGAGAAUUUGGGGAUAUUAUGUACCUUUAGGAGGCAGAAACCAAAUGAGCCUGUGUUUGCAGUGAGGGAAACCCAAUGAAGAUGACUACUUGGGCAUCAUUGAGCACGCAGUACCUGAGAAGUUACAAAUUUGUGAUGCAAUCAACAAUAUAUCAUACAUAGAGAACAUGGAGGAAAUGGCAGGGAGUUGCUCACCGGAGGUGGUAUGAGUGGUGUGGUACAGACCUGAUGGGAAGGAAAUGAGGUGAGGCCAGACAGACUUUAAAGAGCAAUC